AUGAAAGGAAUGCAAGCCAUUAGUGUGACUCUUUUCAUGUCAUUUCUAGUUCUGUUGACCAGAGGAAAAGAUGUGCAAUAUAGAAGGCAAGAGGAAGACAAUACCCAGAUUCUCACUUAUCACCGAGUUAAUAAAACCAUUGUGAUGAAAGAUGGAGAUGUCUAUGACUGCAUUGAUGUGAAUGAGCAAUCGGCUUUCAGGCACCCAUUAUUGAAAGACCACAAAGUCCAGAUGCAACCAAAUUCUUUCCCUGUUUGGAUGGAUAUCCAAACAUUGCCUUCAGAUGAACCAUCUAUCAUUGAGUGCCCAACGGGAACAAUUCCAAUAAUGCGUACUAAUGGAAGUGGCACCAUAGCAGCACAUAGUUAUGAUGGGCAAUUGGAGUCAGCGGGACUCAUAUACCAGGGUGAUGUAUAUGGGGUGCGUGGUGUAUUAAAUGUUUGGGAGCCAAAGGUGAAUAAAUAUAGUAAGGAUUCUAGUGCAAUGUGUGUAGAAAUGAAAAGUGGAGGAGAACAACAUAUUGACAGAAUUGGUGCUGGUGUUCGGGUCUUUCCAACAUUGAGUGGCGAUACUUUUGUUAGAUUUCAUAUUUCUUGGUAUGAUGGCCUAUACAAAAAGUCAUGCAUUGACUUCAGUUGUCCUGGUUUUGUGCAAGUUAGCCAUAGAGUUGGUCUUGGAGCAAGAAUGCGACCACCCUCUGUUUAUCAUGGAAAGCAGACAGUAAUACACAUUCAAAUUUUCAAGGACCCUGUGCCUAAGAACUGGUGGUUGACUUAUGAGCACGUAGCAAUUGGAUAUUGGCCAAGUGCAUUAUUCGAAUUCCUUAGGAACAAAGGUGAUGCAGCAUUCUGGGGUGGGAUUGUUGAGGGGCCGACUGCCUCGUCAAACUCUCCACAAAUGGGCAGUGGACAUUUUGCUUCGGAGGGAUACGGAGGAGCGGCUUUCGUAAAAAAUAUCCAGAUUGCGAAUAAUGAGAAGGGCUAUUUUGACACUCCAAAUAAGUCUCAAGUGCGGCCUGAAUCAAGCGAUAAAUCCAAAUAUACCGUGGAAAGAUUUGAAUAUAGUAAAUAUGUAGGUAUGCGUAUCUUCUAUGGUGGAUUAGGGUCUUACAAGGCCUACUGA
rnacentral:rRNA from 1 species